rnacentral:rRNA from 1 species
AGUUAAGAUACUAAGGGCAAACGGUGGAUGCCUUGGCGCCAAGAAGCGAUGAAGGACGUGAUAGGCUGCGAUAUGCGACGGUGAGCCGCCAAAUAGGCUUUGACCCGUCGAUUUCCGAAUGGGGAAACCCAGCGGGAGUUAUGUCCCGUUACCGUCUGGCUGAAUACAUAGGCCUUACGGAGCGAACCCGGGGAAGUGAAACAUCUCAGUACCCGGAGGAAUAGAAAUCAAUCGAGAUUCCCAAAGUAGCGGCGAGCGAAAUGGGAAGAGCCCAAACCGUGCGGUUUCGACCGUGCGGGGUUGUAGGGCCGUCAUCAGGUGAUCCGUGACUAGGCAGGGGAACAGGCUGGGAAGCCUGACCAUAGAGAGUGAAAGUCUCGUACCUGAAACCGAACAGCGGCAUCGACGGUACCUGAGUACCGCGGGACACGUGAAACCCCGUGGGAAUCUGGGAGGACCAUCUUCCAAGGCUAAAUAUUACUUGGCGACCGAUAGCGCACUAGUACCGUGAGGGAAAGGUGAAAAGUACCCCUGUGAGGGGAGUGAAAUAGUACCUGAAACCGUUUGCCUACAAGCAGUGGAAGCGGACUUGUUCCGUGACCGCGUGCCUUUUGCAUAAUGGGCCAGCGAGUUAAUCUGUUGUGCAAGGUUAAGCCGUAAGGUGGAGCCGAAGCGAAAGCGAGUCUGAAUAGGGCGACUAGUACAGCGGAUUAGACCCGAAGCCGGGUGAUCUAUCCAUGAGCAGGCUGAAGCUCAGGUAAAGCUGAGUGGAGGGCCGAACCGUUGCAAGUUGAAAAUUGCUCGGAUGACUUGUGGAUAGGGGUGAAAGGCCAAUCAAACUCGGUGAUAGCUGGUUCUCCCCGAAAUAUAUUGAGGUAUAGCCUCGGGAUUAGACUUACGGAGGUAGAGCACUGACAGGGCUAGGGGGCUUACCCGCUUACCAAACCCUUUCAAACUCCGAAUGCCGUGAGUUGUUGCCCGGGAGUCAGACUGUGGGUGCGAAGGUCCAUGGUCAAAAGGGAAAUAGCCCAAAUCGACAGCUAAGGUCUCCAAAUGUAUGCUCAGUGGGAAAGGUGGUAGAGUCGCUUAGACAGCCAGGAGGUUGGCUUAGAAGCAGCCAUCCUUUAAAGAAAGCGUAAUAGCUCACUGGUCUAGUGACUCCGCGCCGAAAAUGUAACGGGGCUAAGCAUACUACCGAAGCUUCGGGUUCACGCUUUGCGUGAGCGGUAGGGGAGCGUUCUCAUAGGCGAUGAAGGUGAAGCCGGAAGGCACGCUGGAGCAAUGAGAAGUGAACAUGCUGGCAUGAGUAACGACAAAAAGUGUGAGAAACACUUUCGCCGUAAACCCAAGGUUUCCUGGGUAAAGUUAAUCUUCCCAGGGUUAGUCGGUCCCUAAGGCGAGGCGGAGACGCGUAGUUGAUGGGAAACAGGUUAAUAUUCCUGUACCUCGUAGAGUGUGCGAAGGAGGGACGCAGGAGGGUAGCUGAUCCGGGUGUUGGAUGUCCCGGUGCAAGCGUGUAGGCUUGAGCUGNNNNNNNNNNNNNNNNNNNNNNNNNNNNNNNNNNNNNNNNNNNNNNNNNNNNNNNNNNNNNNNNNNNNNNNNNNNNNNNNNNNNNNNNNNNNNNNAAGGCCGAGACGUGAUGCCGUGUCUUUAUUGACUAAAGUCAGUGAUCCCAUGCUGCCAAGAAAAUCUUCUAAGUUUAGCUCUGCGAGACCGUACCGCAAACCGACACAGGUGGGUGGGGUGAGCAACCCAAGGCGUUUGAGAGAACUCUGGCUAAGGAACUCGGCAAAAUGACCCCGUAAGUUCGCAAGAAGGGGUGCUCCCGUCGGUGAAGUUACUUGCUUUCCGAGCCGAUAGGAGCCGCAGAGAAAUGGGGGGGGCGACUGUUUACUAAAAACAUAGGGCUCUGCGAAGUCGCAAGACGACGUAUAGGGCCUGACGCCUGCCCGGUGCCGGAAGGUUAAGGGGAGAUGUCAGUCUUCGGACGAAGCAUUGAACCGAAGCCCCGGUAAACGGCGGCCGUAACUAUAACGGUCCUAAGGUAGCGAAAUUCCUUGUCGGGUAAGUUCCGACCUGCACGAAUGGCGUAACGAUCUCCCUACUGUCUCGGCCAGAGACUCAGUGAAAUUGAAUUGGCGGUGAAGAUGCCGUCUACCCGCAGCAAGACGGAAAGACCCUGUGCACCUUUACUAUAGCUUGACAUUGGAUUUUGGGCUGACAUGUGUAGGAUAGGUGGGAGGCUUUGAAGUGGGCACGCCAGUGUCUGUGGAGCCGUCCUUGAAAUACCACCCUUGUCAGUCUAAGACUCUAAUCCCACACCGUAAUCCGGUUGGGAGACAGUGUCUGGUGGGUAGUUUGACUGGGGCGGUCGCCUCCUAAAGCGUAACGGAGGCGCGCAAAGGUUCCCUCAGGCUGAUUGGAAACCAGCCGUUGAGUGCAAAGGCAUAAGGGAGCUUGACUGUAAGAGAGACAUCUCGAGCAGGAACGAAAGUUGGUCUUAGUGAUCCGGUGGUCCCGAAUGGAAGGGCCAUCGCUCAUCGGAUAAAAGGUACGCCGGGGAUAACAGGCUGAUCGCGUCCAAGAGUUCACAUCGACGACGCGGUUUGGCACCUCGAUGUCGGCUCAUCACAUCCUGGGGCUGGAGCAGGUCCCAAGGGUUCGGCUGUUCGCCGAUUAAAGUGGUACGCGAGCUGGGUUUAAAACGUCGUGAGACAGUUUGGUCCCUAUCUGCUGUGGGCGCAGGAGACUUGAGGAGGUUUGCCCCUAGUACGAGAGGACCGGGGUGAACGAACCACUAGUGUUUCAGUUGUCACGCCAGUGGCAGUGCUGAGUAGCUAUGUUCGGAUAGGAUAACCGCUGAAAGCAUCUAAGCGGGAAACCAGCUCCAAGAUUAGGUCUCCCUGGACUUCGGUCCCUAAAGACCCCUUGAAGACUACAAGGUUGAUAGGCCGGGUGUGUAAGUGCAGCAAUGCAUUCAGCUAACCGGUACUAAUAGGUCGUGCGUCUUAACUGA